rnacentral:rRNA from 1 species
CCUACGGGUGGCAGCAGUGAGGAAUCUUUGUCAAUGGGCGCGAGCCUGAACCAGCCAAGCCGCGUGAAGGAUGACUGCCCUACGGGUUGUAAACUCCUUUUAUAAAGGAAUAAAGUGAGGCACGAGUGCCUUUUUGUAUGUACUUUAUGAAUAAGGAUCGGCCAACUACGUGCCAGCAGCCGCGGUAAUACGGAGGAUUCGAGCGUUAUCCGGAUGUGUUGGGUGUAAAGGGAGCGUAGAUGGGUUGGUAAGUCAGUUGUGAAAGUUUGGGGCUCAACCGUAAGAUUGCAAUUGAUACUGGCAGUCUUGAGUACAGGUGAGGGAGGCGGAAUUCGUGGUGUAGCGGUGAAAUGCUUAGAUAUCACGAAGAACUCCGAUUGCGAAGGCGGCUUACUAGACUGCCACUGACGUUGAUGCUCGAAAGUGUGGGUAUCAAACAGGAUUAGAUACCCUGGUAGUC